rnacentral:rRNA from 1 species
AAUAGAUACCCGGGUAGUCCACGCCGUAAACGAUGAGUGCUAAGUGUUAGAGGGUUUCCGCCCUUUAGUGCUGCAGCUAACGCAUUAAGCACUCCGCCUGGGGGAGUACGGUCGCAAGACUGAAACUCAAAGGAAUUGACGGGGGCCCGCACAAGCGGUGGAGCAUGUGGUUUAAUUCGAAGCAACGCGAAGAACCUUACCAGGUCUUGACAUCCCACUGACCGGUAUAGAGAUAUACCUUUCCCUUCGGGGACAGUGGUGACAGGUGGUGCAUGGUUGUCGUCAGCUCGUGUCGUGAGAUGUUGGGUUAAGUCCCGCAACGAGCGCAACCCUUGAUCUUAGUUGCCAGCAUUUAGUUGGGCACUCUAAGGUGACUGCCGGUGACAAACCGGAGGAAGGUGGGGAUGACGUCAAAUCAUCAUGCCCCUUAUGACCUGGGCUACACACGUGCUACAAUGGAUGGUACAAAGGGCUGCAAGACUGCGAAGUCAAGCCAAUCCCAUAAAACCAUUCUCAGUUCGGAUUGCAGG